GACACUUCAGGUUUGAGAACCCUCCGCCCGUACCUUAAAAACUUCAUCAGUGCACACACUCUUGUGUCUUCGUACUUACCGCCACCGCUAUUAAUAAACAACAACACACUACCCGCGACUAUCCUCCCAACGCCCCCAGUCGCACAAGACUCCCAAGGGGGCAGAAGACAAGGGGCACCCAGUUCCUGCAGACCUGCCGGUGGAUCCACCUAAGAAAGCGGGUGAAAAGUAGGGAGUAAAGAUAGUUAAAGGAAGUGCAAAUGUCAGUUACAAACAAAAUGUAAAACACAGUCGUUAGAAAAAGCCAUUUUAAUCAGGACCUCCAACCCAGAAGCUGUAAGUAAAACAAGGGUUAAAAUAAAAAAACGUCUGUUGGCCACAUUCAAUAUUCCCUUCCAAGCUCGAGUCUUUUGUUUUGUUUUGUUGGAGUUGAGCCAAGUUUUUUUUGCUCCUCCUCUCAACGAGACUUUUUUGGUAAGAUUAGAGGAACCACAAAUCGGAAAAUACCAAAAGUUCUGUUCCUCUUAUCUGAAUCUCUUACCGGAAGGGCCCAAACUGACUUCACUAUCCAUCCGGGUUUGUCUGUGUUCAAAUACUUCAAGUAUGCUAUCACCUUACUGGCACCACCUCUCGGUUGCGUAAACAAGUUUAAAAU